CCUACGGGAGGCUGCAGUGAGGAAUAUUGGUCAAUGGACGCAAGUCUGAACCAGCCAUGUCGCGUGCAGGAAGACGGCCCUAUGAGUUGUAAACCGCUUUUGUACGAGAGUAAACGCAGAUACGCGUAUCUGUAUGAAAGUAUCGUACGAAUAAGCAUCGGCUAACUCCGUGCCAGCAGCCGCGGUAAUACGGAGGAUUCAAGCGUUAUCCGGAUUUAUUGGGUUUAAAGGGUGCGUAGGCGGUCGGAUAAGUUAGAGGUGAAAUCCCGAGGCUCAACUUCGGAAUUGCCUCGGAUACUGUUCGGCUAGAGAGUAGUGGCGGUAGGCGGAAUGUAUGGUGUAGCGGUGAAAUGCUUAGAGAUCAUACAGAACACCGAUUGCGAAGGCAGCUUACCAAGCUACUUCUGACGUUGAGGCACGAAAGCGUGGGGAGCAAACAGGAUUAGAGACCCCUGUAGUC
rnacentral:rRNA from 1 species